rnacentral:rRNA from 1 species
UACGUAGGGUGCGAGCGUUACUCGGAAUUACUGGGCGUAAAGGGUGCGCAGGCGGUUAUAUAAGACAGAUGUGAAAUCCCCGGGCUCAACCUGGGAACUGCGUUUGUGACUGUAUGACUAGAGUACGGUAAAGAGGGGUGGAAUUCCUGGUGUAGCAGUGAAAUGCGUAGAUAUCAGGAGGAACAUCGAUGGCGAAGGCAGCCCCUUGGACCUGUACUGACGCUCAUGCACGAAAGCGUGGGGAGCAAACAGG